CACCAGCCCCUCGAGUGGUGGGGAUGAUUAUUUGGCCUAAAGCGUCCGUAGCCGGCCGGGUAAGUUUCCCGUUAAAUCCAGCGUCUCAAGCGUUGGACUGCGGGAAAUACUGCCUGGCUAGAGAGUGGGAGAGGUGUUCGGUAUUCUGGGGGUAGGGGCGAAAUCCUUUGAUCCCCGGAAGACCACCAGUGGCGAAGGCUGUACACUAGAACACGUCUGACGGUCAGGGACGAAAGCUGGGGUAGCGAACCGGAUUAGAUACCCGGGUAGUCCCAGCUGUAAACGAUGCAUGCUAGGUGUUGGGUUGGCCACGAGCCACCCCAGUGCCGUAGGGAAGCCGUUAAGCAUGCCGCCUGGGAGGUACGAUCGCAAGAUUGAAACUUAAAGGAAUUGGCGGGGGAGCACCACCAGGCGUGAAGCCUGCGGUUU
rnacentral:rRNA from 1 species